rnacentral:rRNA from 1 species
UGGGGAAUAUUGCACAAUGGACGGAAGUUUGAUUCAGCGACGCCGCGUGGUGGGUGUAGGCCUUCGGGUUGUGAACUCCUUUUUCUCGCGAAAAAGGCACAGUUUUGGCUGUGUUGAUGGUAGUGGGGGAAGAAGCGCCGGCUAACUACGUGCCAGCAGCCGCGGUAAUACGUAGGGCGCGAGCGUUGUCCGGAUUUAUUGGGCGUAAUGAGCUCGUAGGUGGUUCGGCGCGUCUGUCGUGAAAGCCAGCAGCUUAACUGUUGGACUGAGGUGGGUACGGGCGGGCUUGAGUGCGGUAGGGGUGACUGGAAUUCCUGGUGUAGCGGUGGAAUGCGCAGAUAUCAGGAGGAACACCGAUGGUGAAGGCAGGUCACUGGGCCGUUACUGACACUGAGGAGCGAAAGCGUGGGGAGCGAACAGG